rnacentral:rRNA from 1 species
GGAAUAUUGGUCAAUGGAUGGAAGUCUGAACCAGCCAUGCCGCGUGCAGGAAGAAGGCCUUCUGGGUUGUAAACUGCUUUUGCCAGGGGAUAAAAAGACCGUGCGCGGUUAAUUGAAGGUACCUGGUGAAUAAGCCACGGCUAACUACGUGCCAGCAGCCGCGGUAAUACGUAGGUGGCAAGCGUUGUCCGGAUUUAUUGGGUUUAAAGGGUGCGUAGGCGGCCCCGUAAGUCAGUGGUGAAAUAUCUCAGCUUAACUGAGAGGGUGCCAUUGAUACUGCGGGGCUUGAGUACAGAUGAGGUAGGCGGAAUUGACGGUGUAGCGGUGAAAUGCAUAGAUAUCGUCAAGAACACCGAUAGCGAAGGCAGCUUACUAAGCUGUAACUGACGCUGAGGCACGAAAGUGUGGGGAUCAAACAGGAUUAGAUACCCUGGUAGUCCACACUGUAAACGUUGAUGACUCGAUGUUGGCGAUACACAGCCAGCGUCCAAGAGCAAUCGUUAAGUCAUCCACCUGGGGAGUACGCCGGCAACGGUG